rnacentral:rRNA from 1 species
AGCCAUGCAUGUUUAUGUAAUAAAGGACGAAUAGCUCAGUAAAACUGCGUUUAUUUAAUCUGUUUGAUAUGAUAACUACGUGAAAAUGUAGCUAAGGGAACAGAAUAAGACGUAGUACUAUCAGUUUGUUGGCAGUGUAAUGGACUACCAAGACUAUGACGGUUAACGGGGAAUCAGGGUUUGAUACCGGAGAGGGAGCCUGAGAGAUUGCUCCCACGUCCAAGGACGGCAGCAGGCGCGAAAAUUGCCCACUCUUGUAGGAGGCAGUUAUGAGACGUUGUUUUGUGUUUUGUAAAAAGAAACAAGAAAAUUGGAGGGCAAGUUUGGUGCCAGCAGCCGCGGUAAUACCGACUCCAAGAGUGUGUAUGAGAGAUGCUGCAAUUAAAAAGUCCGUAGUUUUUUAGAGGAGCCAAUGGGGAUUAUAGUAUACAAGGGCGAGAGAUGAAAUGUCAAGACCCCUUGUGGACUAAGCGAGGCGAAAGCGAUAAUCUUGUGGGUAUUCUUUGAUCAAGGACGAAGGGUGGAGGAUCGAAAGUGAUUAGAUACCGCUGUAGUUCCACCAGUAAAAUAUGCCGACAUGUUUUUUGGCAACAAGGAACAGGGAGAAAUCUUAGAGUUCGGGCUUUGGGGAUAGUAUGCUCGCAAGAGUGAAAAUUAAAGAAAUU